ACGCUCUGAUUUCUCUGUAAAUUUGACAAUUCAUCGACAAGAAAUUAGAUUACACGGGUGUGGAUAAAGUGUAAACGCAAUGCCUGCACGGUUCUGUUAUAACACGAAACAAGUAGAUAAAAAGUAAGCUUAAAUCUCAUUUAGAUUGAUAAUUCAUUUUUGUUGUUGUUACUUUUGUUUCUGUCACAAGUAUCAUUUUACUUAUAUGACAAUAAAACAAUUAUAAUUAUAAUUCAUCAAAAUGACACCUGUGUUCCUUUUUACAUUACUAGUGCAGGAAUAAUGUAUACACGCAUUGAUAACAAAUAUUAAAGCACAAGACAUAUCUAAGACUAAGAGAAUUACAAACGGGACAAAUAUUAUCACUU
rnacentral:lncRNA from 1 species